AGCGAACGCUGGCGGCAGGCCUAACACAUGCAAGUCGAACGACCCUUUCGGGGUUAGUGGCGCACGGGUGAGUAACACGUGGGAACGUGCCGUUAGGCUCGGAAUAACUCAGGGACACUUGUGCUAAUACCGAAUGUGCCCUUCGGGGGCAAGAUUUAUCGGCUUUAGGGCGGCCCGCGUCCGAUUAGCUAGUCGGUGAAGGUAUUGGCUCACCAAGGCGACGACCAGUAGCUGGUAUGAGAGGAUGAGCAGACACAUUGGGACUGAGACACGGCCCAAACUCCUACGGGAGGCAGCAGUGGGGAAUCUUGCGCAAUGGGCGAAAGCCUGACGCAGCCAUGCCGCGUGAAUGAUGAAGGUCUUAGGAUUGUAAAAUUCUUUCACCGGGGACGAUAAUGACGGUACCCGGAGAAGAAGCCCCGGCUAACUUCGUG
rnacentral:rRNA from 1 species